GUAGUUUGUAAUUGAAUAAAUGAGGUAUGCCACUUUCUUUUCCUGUUGCAUUUUCAAAGAAAACCUGUGGAUGCUCCUGGAUGACUUUUAUGUAUUUGGGAAAGAGAUAAUGACAAACAUGAGUCUAGGACUUGAAGUCGCCUGUGCUUUCCUCCUUAAAGUAAGUUCGGUGUUGCUGUCCCUCCCUUUAAGAGGGGAGGCUAGUUCUCUCCCUUUGAAUCUCCACUGAUUUUGACUCACCACGCCUUCCAUUUUUGUUCAGGAAAGGCAGCCAUGAUGCUGCAAAUAAAAGUAAGCUCAAGAUUGGUAAAUAAAUGCUA
rnacentral:lncRNA from 1 species